rnacentral:rRNA from 1 species
GUGAGGAAUUUUCCGCAAUGGACGAAAGCCUGACGGAGCAAUGCCGCGUGAAGGAUGAAGGCCUAUGGGUUGUAAACUUCUUUUCUCAGAAAAGAAUUAUGACGGUAUCUGAGGAAUAAGCAUCGGCUAACUCUGUGCCAGCAGCCGCGGUAAGACAGAGGAUGCAAGCGUUAUCCGGAAUGAUUGGGCGUAAAGCGUCUGUAGGUUGUUUAAAAAGUAUUCUGUCAAAGAUUAGGGCUUAACCCUAGAUAGGCAGAAUAAACUUUUAAGCUAGAGUUUGGUAGAGGCAGAGGGAAUUCCCGGUGGAGCGGUGAAAUGCGUAGAUAUCGGGAGGAACACCAAAGGCGAAGGCACUCUGCUGGGCCAAUACUAACACUGAGAGACGAAAGCGAGGGGAGCAAAUGGGAUUAGAAACCCUAGUAGUCC